CAAUAGCGUAUAUUAACGUUGUUGCAGUUAAAAAGCUCGUAGUUGGAUUUCUGGAGGGAGCGUCGGCCCGUAUUUACGAGUGCGUGACGUCUCUGUCCAUCCUUGCGGGAAGGCACGGCAUUGAUUUGUUGUGUCGGAUCGCAUCAUUUACUGUGAAAAAAUUAGAGUGUUCAAAGCAGGCUUUCGCUUGAAUACAUUAGCAUGGAAUAAUAAGAUAGGACUUUGGUGCUAUUUUGUUGGUUGAGCCUAAAGUAAUGAUUAAUAGGGAUAGUUGGGGGCACCUGUAUUGCGUUGUCAGAGGUGAAAUUCUUGGAUUUACGCAAGACAAACAGCUGCGAAAGCAUCUGCCAAGGAUGUUUUCAUUA
rnacentral:rRNA from 1 species